UGCGAGUGAAGCGGGAAAAGCUCAAAUUUAAAAUCUGGCGGUCCUUGCGGCUGUCCGAGUUGUAAUCUAGAGAAGUGUUAUCCGCGCUGGACCGUGUACAAGUCUCCUGGAAUGGAGCGUCAUAGAGGGUGAGAAUCCCGUCUUUGACACGGACUGCCAGGGCUUUGUGAUGCGCUCUCAAAGAGUCGAGUUGUUUGGGAAUGCAGCUCAAAAUGGGUGGUAAAUUCCAUCUAAAGCUAAAUAUUGGCGAGAGACCGAUAGCGAACAAGUACCGUGAGGGAAAGAUGAAAAGAACUUUGGAAAGAGAGUUAAACAGUACGUGAAAUUGUUGAAAGGGAAACGCUUGAAGUCAGUCGCGUUGGCCGGGGAUCAACCUUGCUUUUGCUGGGCGUACUUCCUGGUUGACGGGUCAGCAUCAAUUUUGACCGUUGGAUAAAGGUCAGGGGAAUGUGGCAUCUUCGGAUGUGUUAUAGCCCUUGGUUGCAUACAAUGGUUGGGAUUGAGGAACUCAGCACGCCGAAAGGCCGGGUUUUUAACCACGUUCGUGCUUAGGAUGCUGGCAUAAUGGCUUUAAUCGACCCGUCUUGAAACACGGACCAAGGAGUCUAACAUGCCUGCGAGUGUUUGGGUGGAAAACCCGAGCGCGUAAUGAAAGUGAAAGUUGAGAUCUCUGUCGUGGAGAGCAUCGACGCCCAGACCAGACCUUUUGUGACG
rnacentral:rRNA from 1 species